rnacentral:tRNA from 1 species
UAUAAGGUGGUUGAGAUUAAACAAUAAACUGUAAAUUUAUAUACGGGUAGUAACCCCCUUGUGU